UACGUAGGGGGCUAGCGUUGUCCGGAAUCAUUGGGCGUAAAGCGCGCGUAGGCGGCCAGAUAAGUCCGGUGUGAAAGUCACAGGCUCAACCUGUGAAUGCCGCUGGAAACUGUCUGGCUAGAGUCCGGAAGGGGCGAGUGGAAUUUCUGGUGUAGCGGUGAAAUGCGCAGAUAUCAGGAGGAACACCAGUGGCGAAGGCGGCUUACUGGUCCGGUUCUGACGCUGAGGCGCGAAAGCGUGGGGAGCAAACAGG
rnacentral:rRNA from 1 species